rnacentral:rRNA from 1 species
UACGAAGGGGGCUAGCGUUGCUCGGAAUUACUGGGCGUAAGCGCACGUAGGCGGCUUUCUAAGUCGGAGGUGAAAUCCUGGAGCUCAACUCCAGAACUGCCUUCGAUACUGGAGAGCUUGAGUCCGGGAGAGGUGAGUGGAACUGCGAGUGUAGAGGUGAAAUUCGUAGAUAUUCGCAAGAACACCAGUGGCGAAGGCGGCUCACUGGCCCGGUACUGACGCUGAGGUGGCGAAAGCGUGGGGAGCAAACAGG